CGUAGGGUGCGAGCGUUAAUCGGAAUUACUGGGCGUAAAGCGUGCGCAGGCGGUUUUGUAAGACAGAUGUGAAAUCCCCGGGCUCAACCUGGGACCUGCAUUUGUGACUGCAAGGCUAGAGUACGGUAGAGGGGGAUGGAAUUCCGCGUGUAGCAGUGAAAUGCGUAGAUAUGCGGAGGAACACCGAUGGUGAAGGCAAUCCCCUGGACCUGUACUGACGCUCAUGCACGAAAGCGUGGGGAGCAAACAGGAUUAGAUACCCUGGUAGUCCACGCCCUAAACGAUGUCAACUGGUUGUUGGGUCUUUACUGACUCAGUAACGAAGCUAACGCGUGAAGUUGACCGCCUGGGGAGUACGGCCGCAAGGUUG
rnacentral:rRNA from 1 species